AUGCCACGAGGAGACUUGAAUAAAUUUCUACACUCGGCUCGGGGUGACGAAAGCUCUUCAGAUUCGAACUGCAUUUCACUGGCUCAAAGGUUGAGCAUCGUGGCAGAUGUAUCAGAUGCAGUGGCGUACCUUCACCAAGAGGGUAUUGUUCAUUGUGAUCUGAAACCUAGCAACAUUCUCUUAGACGAUGAUAUGGUAGCUCAUGUUGGGGACUUCGGGCUGGCAAGGUUGCCGAUUCAUACCACAACAUCGUCUUCUGAAUCAACUUCGACGUCUUCCGUUGCAAUAAAGGGAACCAUAGGAUAUGUUGCUCCAGAAUGUGCAGGGGGCAGUCAGGUUUCAACUGCUGCAGAUGUUUACAGCUUUGGAGUCGUCCUCCUUGAAGUAUUCAUUCGAAGGAGGCCAACGGAUGCCAUGUUCAAGGACGGAUUGAGCAUUGCAAAGUUUGCAGAGAUCAACUUCCCCCAUAAAGUAAUGCAGAUUCUUGACCCAGAACUGUUGCAGGAGCUGAAUCUCUGCCGGGAAACUCAGAUGGAUGCUGUCGAGAAAGAUGGAGCGCAAAGUCUCCUUUCUGUGAUUAGUAUUGGGUUGUGUUGCACCAGGUCGUCCCCAAGUGAGCGCAUCAGCAUGCAGGAAGUGGCUGCCAAGCUGCAUGGGAUCAGAGAUGCGUAUCUCUUUACACAAGAUUGA
rnacentral:rRNA from 1 species